ensembl:lncRNA
CUCUUUGAGUCAAUGCACAAAAAGUUGCUACUAGAAGCUUCUCUCCUUUUCUUAAUGCUUAAUAUGUCCAAGAAAAUAAACUUGCUUUGAAAUUAAGAGUAUGUAACAUACAAAGAUAGUUCAUUUUGAAACUAGGUAUUUCCUGUAAUUCAUAUAAUUUCUUACCUAUGUCCAUCCAUGUUUACUCAGGGUACUAUUACUCAGGCAGGUCACCUGGUACAUGAUACAGACUGAGGUAUCUGAGCUAGUACUGUUUGUUUUAGAAUUUAAAAAAAAUGUGAAAAGGACUGUAAAGCAAUAGAAAGUCUUUGCUGUCUGUCCACAGUGUAAAUGGUCCCAAGUUUGAAUUCAAGAUGCAAUUGCUGUGGUGCUUUGCAGAAUUUGCAGUUACAUAGACUAAAUAUCUCUACUGGAAAUAUGUUUAAUAAUCACGUCUUUAACACCAAACAGUGGGCAAAUAAUGUUGAAUCAUACAAUUUAACAUGUGAAAUGAUUGAGCUGGUUCUUAUUAAGUGUUGCUUACACAGUGCUAGUGGAAUAGAAGGAAACUGCAUGAAACAUAUUCUGGGAUGGAAAAAAACAACAACAACAACAAAAAGAAAACCAGCAUAAAACAAUACAGAGUGUUAGAGCAUAGAAAGUAAAGUCAAGUAGUAGUAGUAAAGUAAAAAUAAGUAAAAAGUAAACUGAAAAGUAAAAAGAAAAACUGAAUAUAAAAGAAAGUUUUUAACUGCUGAGAAGUGGAAUUUGGUCAUGAAACCUUCAGUAGUUCUGCUUUUACACUGUUUUGAUCAAACUCUUAAAAGCUGUUAGUAUUUUUCUGAUAUAUUAGAUCAUCUAGGAGGUUUCUAGAGUGUAGAGAAAAUAACUUCCUGACACCGCUGGUAAGAGAGCCUACCAGGGGAGGUGCCCUGCUAAGCCUGCUGUUCACAAACACAGAAGAUCUGGUAGGAGAUGUGGAUGUUGGAAGCUCUCUUGGAGAAAGUGAUGCUAGAGUUCUUGAUUCUUGGUGGAGCCAGGAGAGUGGACAGCAAAACUGCUACCUUGGACUUCUGGAGGGUGGGCUUUGAACUGUUCAGGACACUGGCAGGGAGAGUUCCUUGGGAUUCAGUCCUGAAGGGCAAAGGGGGGUCCAGAAAGGCUGGUCACUACUCAAGAAGGAAGUCUUAAAAGCACAGGAGCAGUCUGUCCCCCUGAGCUGCAAGAUGAGCUGGAAGGGAAGAAGACCAGCAUGAAUAAACCAGGAGGUUUCCUGAGGCUCCAGGAGAAAAAGAGAAGCAUUCCUGGUCAACCAGAGAUGUCCCAGAAGGUUGGAGGCUUGCCAAUCUACAAGACAGUUUGUAAGGAGGAUCCAGAGAACUACAGGCCCAUCAGCUUGACCUCAGUGCCAGGUAAGGUUAUGGUGCAUAUCACCUUGAGGGAGAUCACAUAGCAUGUGCAGGACAACCAGAGGAUCAGCCCUAGCCAGCAUGGGUUCAUGGAAGGCAGAUCCUUUUUGACCAACCUGGUGGAGGAUGGAAGGCUGUGUUGACGUAGUCUACCUAGACUUUAGCAAAGCCUUCAACACUGUCUCACCUAGUAUCCUCCUGGAGAAGCUGGCAGCCCAUGGCUUGGACAGAUGCACUCUUUGCUAGGUAAAGAACUGACUAUAUGGCUGGGCCCAGACAGUAGUGAGGAAUGGAGUUAAGUUCAGCUGGUGACAGGUCACGAGUGGUGUUUGCCAGGGGUCAGUACUGGGGCCUGUCCUCUUCAAUUUCUUAACUGAUGAUCUGGGUGAGGUCACCAAGUGCACUCCCAGUAAGUUUGCAGAUCAUACCAACUUGGCAGGAUGUGUUGAUUUGCCUGGGGAUAGGAAGGCCCUACAGAGAGGGAUCUGGACAGACUAGAUCGCUGGGUUGAGGCCAGUGGGAUGAAGUACUGGGUCCUGCACUUUGGCCACAACAACCCCACGCAGUGCUACAGGCUUGGGGUGGAGUGACUGGAAGACUGUACAGGAAAUGGACUCGGAGAUGAUGGUUGACGCUUGUCUGAACAUGAGCCAGCAGUGUGCCCAGGCGGGCAAGAAUGCCAAUGGCAUCCUGGAUUGUAUCAGAAAUAGUGUUUCCAGCAGGAGCAGGGAAGUGAUUAUCCCCCUGUCCUCAACCCUGGUGAGGCUUCACCUCGAGUACUGUGUUUAGUUUUGUGCCCCUCACUACAAGGAAGACACUGAGGCCCUGGGGCGGCGUGUUCAGAAAAGGACAGUGAAGCUGGUGAGGGGUCUGGAGUGCAUGCCUCAUGAGGAGUGGCUGAGGGGGGAACUGUGAUUGUUGAGUCUGGAGAAGAGGAGGCUUGGGGAGACGUUAUUACUCUCUACAGCUCCCUGAAGGAAGGUUGUGGUGAGGUGGAGGUCAGCCUCUUCUCGCAUGUAACUGGUGAUAGGACUAGAGGGAAUGGCCUCAAGUCGCACCAGCAGAGAUUCAGUUUGGAUGUUCGGAAAAACUCCAAGAGUCAACCUGCUGUGGAAUGGGCUGCCAGGGGGUGAUAGAAUCACUGACCCUGAAGGCAUUCAUGAAACCUUUAGAUGUUGUACCAAGGGACGUGGUUUAGUGAGAAAUAUUCGUGAUAGGUGAACAGUUGGACUGGGUGAUCAUGGAAGUCUUUUCCAACCUUGGUGAUCCUAUGAUUCUCUGCGAAAUUUACAGCUAACAGUUUUUCUGAAAAUUGGUCUCUAAGCAAAAAGGUCUCUAAGCAUUUUUAUAAAGCACUUUUUUGAUGUAGGUACACAGAGUCUCAUUUUUAAGGCUUUCAUGAAUUAUUUUAGAAUUAUUUUGUGCUGUAAGUGAGCUUCACAAUCCAAAUCAUGACAUAAGGCCUUAUGGUGUCAGUCACCACAUAUGUUCGUAACGAAGCAAUGGUAUUUAGUCUUAAAAAAUAGAAAGCCUGAAUAAAGGACAGGAGAAAGUACAGGGGUUCAGUGUAUGUAUAUGAAAGGUCAAGGUUACUGUGGGGUAAUGUCACGAAUACAAUAGGUAACAGUGAAAAAUUCUGCCUUAUUAUCACCUGCCUUAUUAUUCAACUUUUUAUACUUCUGGAAAAAAGAAUGGUAGAAGGGCAAGCCAUUUGGCCUUAUGCACAGUAAGUUUGUCCUAUUAUUUUUUCUCCCUUCAUUAAAUUGCUACUGCAUAACAUCCCUCAAUCUCUGCUUCAUUACAGGUUGGGUAUAUUGUUGGGGUUUUUUUUGUUCCAUUUUUUAUCAAUAUCCACUUAGUGUAUGAGAUUUGGAGAGUAUGCUUGCUUUUGAAUUACAUGCUCUGUUUGAAAUACAGAUGAAGAUGAACAUUUCAGCUGUUCCUCCACUCAGUGUCUUUAAAGGAAAAAUAUCCUGCUAUUUAACUGCAUUCAUGAACAAAAGAAUUAUCUGAAUUGAACAAAAAUACAAAAGAAACUUAUCUGACUAGCUUGGAUUUCUAGUUUUGGUCCAGGUGAAGUAGCUUGCAUAUCCAUUUGAAAAGGUAUUUUUAAAUUUCACUAUGUAAGAAUGUUCCUGAAACUUUGGAUAUAAGUCAUCUUUUUGCACUAAAAUGUGGAGAACUUUUGAGGGAAUCGUUUAAAUGAUUUCCCAGAUAAGCUAGUUCUUUGCUACUGAUUGACCAUAGUGAUGGUGUCUUCCUUUAGCUUCUCUGACUUUUUUUUCCACGGUAUUUAUAUGUGUGUGUGUGUAUAUAUAUAUAUUAUAUAUAUAUAUGUUAAUCUGUGAGUUUUAUUGCUUAAAUUGGAUGCUUAUAGCAGCUCAGAGAAGCAGAGAUUUCAGUCAUACUGUUGCAUCUACUGCACCAACAAGUUCAUAUAAAAAUGUGUUGAUAGAAAAUAUGGCAGUGACUAGGUAGGCAUUGCUCACCUGGUUUUGUGUUUCUUAAGCUGAAAUGAGUUUCUGAUUUGUAGCAAAAACCAUCGUAUAUACCAUUGUUUUGUCACUAUUCUAAUCCCAU